GACUUAAAAUCCGUUGACUUUAAAAAUCGUGAGG
rnacentral:tRNA from 1 species